rnacentral:rRNA from 1 species
UAGAGACUCAGAGCUGCAUAUCAAUAAGCGGAGGAAAAGAAACUAACAAGGAUUCCCUUAGUAACGGCGAGUGAAGCGGGAAGAGCUCAAAUUUGAAAUCUUCAAGGUUUUACCUUGACGAAUUGUAGUUUAAAGAAGUGUUUUCUGUUGAGGUUUUGGUAAAAGUUCUUUGGAAUAGGACAUCAUAGAGGGUGAGAAUCCCGUAUUUGACCAUUUCUUCCAGCUGUGUGAUACACUUUCAAAGAGUCGGAUUGUUUGGGAAUGCAGUCCAAAAUGGGUGGUAAAUUUCAUCUAAAGCUAAAUACUGGCGAGAGACCGAUAGCGAACAAGUACCGUGAGGGAAAGAUGAAAAGAACUUUGAAAAGAGAGUUAAACAGUACGUGAAAUUGUCAAAAGGGAAGCGUUUGACACCAGUGUUGUUUUCUCGAAAAUCAAUUAAAAAUGAUGGGAUUUUGUGUUGUAUUGACUUUAUCAGCUUUCUGCACUUUUUUCUUAUCUUUUUUAAUGCACUUUUCGUUUAACAAGUCAACAUCAAUUUCUUUUGUUGUAAAAGAGUCAUUGGAAGGUGGCUUUUUCUUCGGAAAAAGUGUUUAUAGCCUUUGGCUUCUGCAAUCGGAGAGAUUGAGGUCUGCAGCGUAGAUCCUUCGGGGUUAGAUACAUUUGUGCUAAGCUAUAGUUCUUUAUAGACAACUUGUUGACUGUAAUCAAUCCUGUAACUUACUCGCUUAUGCUAUUUUACCUACGCUUAGGAUGUUGAUGUGAUACUGCGAGCA